rnacentral:rRNA from 1 species
CCAAGGCAGCGAUCGGGUAGCUUGGUCUGGAGAGGGACGAGCAGCCACACUGGGACUGAGACACGGCCCAGACUCCUACGGGAGGCAGCAGUGGGGAUUUUCCGCAAUGGGCGAAAGCCUGACGGAGCAAGACCGCGUGAGGGAGGAAGGCUCUUGGGUUGUAAACCUCUUUUCUCAGGGAAGAAAACUGACGGUACCUGAGGAAUAAGCCCCGGCUAACUCCGUGCCAGCAGCCGCGGUAAUACGGAGGAGGCAAGCGUUAUCCGGAAUUAUUGGGCGUAAAGCGUCCGCAGGUGGCUACUCAAGUCUGCUGUCAAAGACCGGGGCUCAACCCCGGAAAGGCAGUGGAAACUGAGAGGCUAGAGUGCGGUAGGGGUAGAGGGAAUUCCCGGUGUAGCGGUGAAAUGCGUAGAGAUCGGGAAGAACAUCGGUGGCNAAAGCGCUCNACUGGGCCGCAACUGACACUCAGGGACGAAAGCUAGGGGAGCGAAUGGGAUUAG